GCUGUCAUUAAGAUAAAUGGACAACGUAACUGCUGUUUAUCGAAAACUGAUUAUUAGUUGAUUCCAAGAAUUACGUAGAACGUAUUGAACGCACCAACCGUCGUAUUGGAGGACGAGCAGCAGACACCGUGAUGGUUAAUCUCUAAUGAAUGGAGUGGCCUCAAAGUGUAAAAGGUUCUAGGAAUGAACAGCAUAUAGACAAAUGGCCA